UAUAACAUAACAUCAUAUUUGGCAAAAGUGUUUAUCACACACGUAGUGAAUGGUUCGUUCCUUUUAUGGCAGUAAGGAUGUGCCUACGCCUCUGUAUAAAAGCUGUUGAAUAAAGAAAGGCAGAUGUUCCCUGAGAGCAUCCUGAAGUCGUGGUUUCUUCGUUAUUUGAGCCUCAACAGUUGGUGCCCACCGUGGGGCUGGACAGAGGCCUUGGUGGAUUCACAGAUGGGUCGUGGUGACGCUGUGUUUGGGCCCAAACUAAAGAGACAGUCAGUGAUGUGGACCAGGAAACAGGAUGUGGUCUUCCAUCUCCGUGGUAACCACACACCACACAGUUCCUCCUUCUGUCACCUUUAAAAGCACACGGUGGAUCCGGAUGACCCGCCAAUCAACUUGAGAUCAGCUCCAAGAAGAGAAGAGCGUCUGACUGGACAUGGACCACGCACCAUACGUCCUGGUUUUCCUUUGCAUUUCCAUUCAAGGGCUCCUGUCUGAAAACAACAGCACUUCCACAGAGUCUGUCCACUUCAGGUUGGUGGGAGG